rnacentral:rRNA from 1 species
UGGGGAAUUUUGGACAAUGGGCGCAAGCCUGAUCCAGCCAUGCCGCGUGCGGGAAGAAGGCCUUCGGGUUGUAAACCGCUUUUGUCAGGGAAGAAAUCUUCUGAGUUAAUACCUCGGGAGGAUGACGGUACCUGAAGAAUAAGCACCGGCUAACUACGUGCCAGCAGCCGCGGUAAUACGUAGGGUGCAAGCGUUAAUCGGAAUUACUGGGCGUAAAGCGUGCGCAGGCGGUUUUGUAAGACAGAGGUGAAAUCCCCGGGCUCAACCUGGGAACUGCCUUUGUGACUGCAAGGCUUGAGUGCGGCAGAGGGGGAUGGAAUUCCGCGUGUAGCAGUGAAAUGCGUAGAUAUGCGGAGGAACACCGAUGGCGAAGGAAUCCCCUGGGCCUGCACUGACGCUCAUGCACGAAAGCGUGGGGAGCAAAACAGGAUUAGAUACCCCUGGUAGUCCACGCCCCUAAAACGAUGUCAACUGGUUGUUGGGAAGGUUCCUUCUCAGUAACGUAGCUAACGCGUGAAGUUGACCGCCUGGGGAGUACGGCCGCAAGGUUGAAACUUAAAUGAAUUGACGGGGUCAUAGCUGUUU